CGCGGUCCGUCUUCCAGCCACGGAGCGGGGAAACCUGGACUGCCGUUGGUUCUAAGGCAGAGCGCCGCCAGAGACUGGUGCCAAGACCCACUCCUCCUAAACUAGCCUCAACACUCUGACCCCCGCGGAGGCCCUGCAGACCCAGCAGUUCGUCCUUGGCAUGUGGCUGGCCUCCUGUCUCCCCGCCUCCUUGUUCCGGGUUUCUUUUCAGUUUCCCGCGGAACCGUCUCUUGAAGACAACCAACCGCGGCCGAGAGUGUUGCAGCUUGGCCAACCACAGGCGCGGUGGGUGGUGGCGGGGACUGAGAGGUGGGUUUCUGGUCAGGGAGAGCAAGCCCGGCUGCGACCCGGGGGGAGUCCGGUGGGGUGCAGAAGUGGCUUCUUGCGGUUAGGGUGAAGACACCGGUGGGACCAGCCUCCACCCAUGAAAAGACCCCUUCGGGUAACAGUGAUCUACCUCGGCGACAAUGUCCAGCCAGGUCAUUCCAGCCCUCCCCAAAACAUUUUCCAGUAGCCUGGACCUGUGGAGGGAAAAGAACGACCAGCUUGUUAGACAGGCUAAGCAACUCACCAGGGAUUCUCGUCCCUCUCUGAGGCGACAGCAAUCGGCCCAAGACACACUGGAAGGGCUUAGGGAACUCCUCCUCACUCUACAAGGACUCCCUGCUGCUGUCCCCGCUCUCCCCUUGGAGCUGACUGUCCUCUGUAAUUGUAUAAUCCUGAGGGCUAGCCUAGUCCAGGCUUUCACUGAAGAUCUUACCCAGGAUCUUCAAAGGGGCCUCGAAAGAGUGCUGGAGGCCCAGCAUCACCUGGAGCCCAAGUCACAGCAGGGACUCAAGGAGCUGUGGCACUCUGUCCUCUCUGCUUCCUCCCUUCCACCGGAGCUGCUGCCUGCCUUACACUGCCUGGCCAGCCUUCAAGCUGUCUUCUGGAUGAGUACCGACCACCUGGAGGACCUGACCUUGCUGUUACAAACCCUAAAUGGCAGCCAGACUCAGUCCUCUGAGGAUCUGCUACUACUGCUAAAAUCCUGGAGUCCUCCAGCUGAGGAGUCACCCGCCCCACUGAUUCUGCAGGAUGCCGAGAGUUUGAGGGAUGUCCUUCUGACUGCAUUUGCCUGCCGCCAAGGCUUCCAGGAGCUAAUCACAGGGAGCCUGCCCCAUGCACAGAGCAACCUGCAUGAAGCAGCCUCAGGUCUGUGUCCGCCGUCCGUGUUAGUCCAGGUGUACACGGCCCUGGGGGCCUGUCUCCGUAAGAUGGGAAAUCCACAGAGAGCACUGUUGUACUUGACUGAAGCCCUGAAAGUGGGAACAACCUGUGCCCUUCCGCUUCUGGAGGCUUCCAGAGUAUAUAGGCAACUAGGAGACAGAGCAGCAGAACUGGAGAGUCUGGAACUGCUGGUUGAGGCCUUGAGUGCCACCCAUAGUUCUGAAACAUUCAAAAGUCUCAUUGAAGUAGAAUUGCUACUUCCACAACCUGACCCAGCCUCUCCUCUUCAUUGUGGCACACAGAGCCAGGCCAAGCACCUGCUAGCAAGUCGAUGCCUGCAGACGGGGAGAGCUCAGGCAUCCCUCCAUUAGCCACGAGAAUAUUCUCACUGGAACAUUUUUGGGGAGCCAGGGCCCUUGAAGCUCACAGACUGACUGACUCUCCAGGGCAGAAGAUGCUGCAGAGCAUUACCUGGACCUGCUGGCAAUGUUGCUGGGUGGCUCAGAGACAAGGUUCUCCCCACCCACCUCCUCUCUAGGUCCCUGUAUACCAGAGUUAUGUCUGGAGGCAGCAGCAGCACUGAUCCAGGCAGGCCGAGCCUUAGACGCUUUGACUGUGUGUGAGGAGCUGCUCAACCGUACCUCGUCUCUGCUUCCCAAAAUGUCCUCCUUGUGGGAAAAUGCCAGGAAAAGAGCCAAAGAACUGCCGUGUUGCCCAGUCUGGGUCUCUGCCACCCACCUGCUUCAGGGCCAGGCCUGGUCACAACUAAAGGCUCAGAAAGAGGCACUUAGUGAAUUUAGCCAGUGUCUUGAGCUGCUCUUUCGGACCCUGCCUGAGGACAAAGAACAAGGCUCCGACUGUGAGCAGAAGUGUAGGUCUGACGUGGCACUGAAACAGCUGCGAGUGGCUGCUCUGAUCAGUCGUGGACUGGAGUGGGUAGCCAGUGGCCAGGAUACCAAAGCCUUAAGUGACUUCCUCCUCAGUGUGCAGAUAUGCCCAGACUCUGAAAAGAUUGGAUCGGAAGAAUGAGGCCAGUGCUUUUUGGCGGGAGGCCCACAGCCAGCUGCCACUGGAGGACGCUGCCGGGUCUCUUCCACUGUAUUUAGAAACCUGUUUGAGCUGGAUCCAUCCCCCUAACCGCGAAGCCUUCCUUGAGGAGUUUGGGACUUCGGUGUUGGAGUCUUGUGUCCUUUAGCUUCCUUGUUUCCAGGAUCUUGAACUUUGGCCUCUGUGGACUCUUUCCUUGGGGAGGGUUUUAGAUCUUCUUUUUUUUGUUUUCUUCUGCCUUAUCCUCUUUGGAGAGUGGCUGGAACUGAUUGUUUCUAAGUAACUCUUUUGCUCCUGAGGCUGGUCCUGUGAACCUUGAUCUACUUGCUACCAGUCUAGUUCCAGAGUGGUUCCAUGAACAAAUCACUGUCUGCUCAUGGCACUUUUCUUCCUUCCUUCCUUUCUCUCUUGUGUGUUGAGUAAAAUCUUCUAUUUAUGUCUUAUCUGCUUACUACACAUAGUUGAAUGGGAAGGAAGGCUCAUGGCAAGCUAGUUGGGUAUUGGCUGUUUAAGAUGCUCUAUUUCCAACAUCCGUCUUCUGUCUGCCUUCCCUGUCUCCCUAACUCCCCCUUCCUUCCCAUUGUCUUUUUGGUAGGUUGGAUUCUGGGGACUAAACUGCAGUUCCUCAUAAAAAUCCCCAUUCCUACCCUUUUCCCACCCUGCCAUCUACCGUAAGAGCUUGAGACACAAGCCUUUCUGAGGGAAAGGCUAUGUUAAUCCUUCUGGAGGAGCAGUUUUAAGUUACUAAUUUAUCCUUCUUAAGUUACUAUUAAAAUUUUGAAUUGCUUAUUUUAA